AGUGAACGCUGGCGGUAGGCCUAACACAUGCAAGUCGAACGGCAGCACAGUAAGAGCUUGCUCUUACGGGUGGCGAGUGGCGGACGGGUGAGGAAUACAUCGGAAUCUACUUUUUCGUGGGGGAUAACGUAGGGAAACUUACGCUAAUACCGCAUACGACCUACGGGUGAAAGCAGGGGAUCUUCGGACCUUGCGCGAUUGAAUGAGCCGAUGUCGGAUUAGCUAGUUGGCGGGGUAAAGGCCCACCAAGGCGACGAUCCGUAGCUGGUCUGAGAGGAUGAUCAGCCACACUGGAACUGAGACACGGUCCAGACUCCUACGGGAGGCAGCAGUGGGGAAUAUUGGACAAUGGGCUCAAGCCUGAUCCAGCCAUACCGCGUGGGUGAAGAAGGCCUUCGGGUUGUAAAGCCCUUUUGUUGGGAAAGAAAAGCAGCAGGUUAAUACCCCGCUGUUCUGACGGUACCCAAAGAAUAAGCACCGGCUAACUUCGU
rnacentral:rRNA from 1 species